rnacentral:rRNA from 1 species
UCCGUGAGCUGUCUUCUAAACGUCCUCGGCUACGUCUGCGAUGACCGCCGAGCCGAAUAAAUCAGCGUUUCCCUAAGUGGGAAACGAAGUGGGAAGGCUAAAACAGUCAGGAGGUUGGCUUAGAAGCAGCCACCCUUUAAAGAAAGCGUAAUAGCUCACUGAUCGAGUCGUCCUGCGCGGAAGAUGUAACGGGGCUAAGCUAUAUACCGAAGCUGCGGAUGCGUGCUUGCACGCAUGGUAGGAGAGCGUUCCGUAAGCCUGCGAAGGUGCGUUGAAAAGCGUGCUGGAGGUAUCGGAAGUGCGAAUGCUGACAUGAGUAGCGAUAAAGGGGGUGAAAGGCCCCCUCGCCGUAAGCCCAAGGUUUCCUACGCAACGUUCAUCGGCGUAGGGUGAGUCGGCCCCUAAGGCGAGGCAGAAAUGCGUAGCUGAUGGGAAGCAGGUCAAUAUUCCUGCACCAUUGUUAGAUGCGAUGGGGGGACGGAUCGCGGAAGGUUGUCCGGGUGUUGGAAGUCCCGGUCGCUGCAUUGGAGAAGGCACUUAGGCAAAUCCGGGUGCGCAAUUCAAGGGUGUGGCGCGAGCUUCUUCGGAAGCGAAGCAAUUGGAAGUGGUUCCAAGAAAAGCCUCUAAGCUUCAGUCUAACGAUGACCGUACCGCAAACCGACACAGGUGGGCGAGAUGAGUAUUCUAAGGCGCUUGAGAGAACUCGGGAGAAGGAACUCGGCAAAUUGGUACCGUAACUUCGGGAUAAGGUACGCCCUUGUAGCUUGACUGGCCUGCGCCAGGAGGGUGAAGGGGUUGCAAUAAACUGGUGGCUGCGACUGUUUAAUAAAAACACAGCACUCUGCAAACACGAAAGUGGACGUAUAGGGUGUGACGCCUGCCCGGUGCCGGAAGAUUAAAUGAUGGGGUGCAAGCUCUUGAUUGAAGUCCCGGUAAACGGCGGCCGUAACUAUAACGGUCCUAAGGUAGCGAAAUUCCUUGUCGGGUAAGUUCCGACCUGCACGA